rnacentral:rRNA from 1 species
GGACCUGACUGCUAUCGGAUUGAUACUAAGCCAUGCGAGUCAUUGUAGUAAUACAAGGCAGACGGCUCAGUAACGCGUAGUCAACCUAACCUAUGGACGGGAAUAACCUCGGGAAACUGAGUAUAAUGCCCGAUAGAACAUUAUGCCUGGAAUGGUUUAUGUUCCAAAUGAUUUAUCGCCGUAGGAUGGGACUGCGGCCUAUCAGUUUGUUGGUGAGGUAAUGGCCCACCAAGACUAUUACAGGUACGGGCUCUGAGAGGAGUAGCCCGGAGAUGGGUACUGAGACACGGACCCAGGCCCUAUGGGGCGCAGCAGGCGAGAAAACUUUGCAAUGUGCGAAAGCACGACAAGGUUAAUCCGAGUGGUUUCUGCUAAAGGAACCUUUUGUCGGUCCUAGAAACACCGAUGAAUAAGGGGUGGGCAAGUUCUGGUGUCAAGCG